GCCAGGUGUGGUGGUGCAUGCCUGUAAUCCCAGCUACUCACGAGGCUGAGGUGGGAGGAUUGCUCAGGCCCAGGAGGUCAGGGCUGCAGUGAGCCGAGAUGGCACCACUGCACUCCAGCCUGGGUGGCAGAGCAAGAUCCUGUCUCAA
rnacentral:SRP_RNA from 1 species